rnacentral:lncRNA from 1 species
AUGGAGGUGCCCGUUGGGAUGACGACCGUGCUGCUGUGCUGCAGGGCCAGCCGGCACCGGUCACCACUGCCCUGCACAGGGAGGGCCCUGGCAGCGUGCGCGUUACCCAUUAACUCGCGCCGAGCCCAGCAAGGCUGGCACGAGCGUCCUUUCAUCUCCUCUGGCGGGCACGCGCGCAGGCCGGGAGCGGCAGCUCUCCUCCCCUGCCGUCGGGCACAGAGACACUCCGGCUGCCCCUUCGCGGUGGCCGGCCAGCAGGCGCGUGCGGAAGGACCCCUCUCCGCAGGAGGAGAGGGCUUCACAGCGGUGCCGCCGGCGCCUCCCGCGAGGGCAGAGGUAGGUUCGUGCUGCCCACCUGACGGCCUGCAGCGCACUCGCCCGUGCACAGGGAGGGCUCUGCCCGUGUAUCUGUUUUGCUGCUGCCAGGCAGUUGCUGAGUGCACCGACCGCACGGAUUUACUGCUCUUUUGUUUCUCAGAGACAAGCCUGGGAGUCGGGGGGCACCCAGGCCCACUCAGCGGGUGCAAAGCGGGAAGAGAAGUGCCCCAGGCAGCGCCGGCCCAGGUGGGGCAGCCGGGGGGCUCAGCGGGGUUUGGGGAAAGGUCCCCACCGGCGAGCCUUCGCCAUGCAUGCCCAACCGCUGCAGCCCGGCUCGGCUGGCACGGGGCUCCCCGAGCCAAGCGGGGUGCAGCCCUGCGCGGAGCCGCGGGUGCCGGAGCAGAGCUCGCCGCAGCGCAGCACCCUGCUCCUCCGCGGCAGCACCGGGCCCCACGGCAGGGCCCGUCCCGGGUGCGGGUCCCCGGCCAGCACCGCCCCCGGGGCCGCCAGCCGCGGGGUGCCGUGGCCAUACGUGGUGCAGAGCGCAGCCCCGAGGAAGCGAGCAGGGGGUUCCUGGCAGCUCUGCACAGCCCUGAGAGCCAGCUCCGAGAGAGAGCGAGCUGCCGCCGCUGCUGCACUCGAUCAGUGCAGAUAAGAAAGGGGCCCGCGACGGAGCAGCAAUUCAGUGAGCUGGCGGCCGCAGAUCCCGGCGUUGAGCUAUUCAGCCCCUCUGGAGCCUGGCCGGAUUCAGACCGAAUCUCUGUCCCAGGCUCAGAGCUCAGCUGCAGCCCAGCGCCCCGGGCCAGCUCCGGCAGUGCCCCUCCUCGGGGCCAGGGUGCCCACCUGCCCCGGCCCUCCCACAGCCCCUCGUCCCUCGCAGCGAGGUGCUCAGGAGCAGCACGCACAGAGGGGGCUCAGCGGGGCCCCGGCCCGGCUGCUCGCUCCGCGGCCGGUCGCCAGCGCUACCUUCAGCACCAGCUCACCCCUGGCAGCUGCGCUGGCUCCCGUCACUCGCUGUCACCACCGUCCCCACUCUGGAGGGACAGCCCGAGCUCUCGGGGGGCCGAAAGGGGAUGCACCGAGGCUACCGCAAACCACUGA